CUCGUAACGUGCAACUCCUGGAAAGACAGUUUUAUUUAAUAAUUAUAGUCAUAUUUUAGCAUAGUUGAAAUCAAAUUUAGUUCUUAAUUUUUUUAACAACGUUUAACACGAGAACCAUCCUAAAGGCCGUUUGGCAUCAAAGUGCUCGAUUCCAGAGAGAGAGAGAGAGAUAAAUGAAAAUAAUCCGUAAUUGUUUUAGUUAUGUCGUUUUCGCUUGUAGUCGAAUCUAAUCCAAUUUCGACCAUAACUGCUAUCGAAUACAGUGGAGACCGGGGCUAAUCCGGACACUUUCAGGAAAUUAAAAAAAAAUCAUUACAACAAGACUUUUACCCAAGAUACUGUAACGUUGUGUAGUUUCAGCCUUCAGCUACAAUUUUUAUUUGUGAUUUGGAAAAAUAAGCAUUAAAUUCCACAAAAAAGUCGCGAUGAAGUGAUCAACCAAAAAUCCAAAACUUCAGAGACUGCGGGGCUAACCCGGACAAAUCUUGGAAAAAGAAAAUAACAUCAAUUACACAUUACUCUUUACAGUUGUGUAGCUUCAACUCUCAACUACAAUUCUCAAUUUGUAACUUGAAAAAACAUGCAUUAGUUUUUAUACCAAGUCACGAUGAAGUUACCGAAGCCAAAAUCCAAUAUUUCAGGAAUCGCGGUGCUAAAACGGACCAUAAAGUCUCACACAAAAAUGAAGAACGAAUAAAAUAGGGCGCCAAAUCUUAAGAUAACUUUAUAUACGUAAAAGAAAGGAAACCAAGUUCGAAUGGAUUGUUUGUUGUUUCCAACCUUGGGUGAGACAUAAUCGUGCUCACCGGGAAUAUGGGUACCAAAUAAUUGAUGUUGAAACUGACUUUAGAGUCUUCAUUGAAGAAUGAUAUCCAAUAUGUUUUCCCUGGUUAGAUACUGAUCAUAUUUGAGGACUGAUUGUUUUGCUACAUACAAAGAACGUUUCGCUUGAAUUUAUAAUAAAUUUAAUUUUAAUGAAAAGUAGAUAAGAAAAAUGGACAUCAAUAUUAGGGUAUGUUUCAAGAAUUUGUUAAGAAUUUAUAGUUCAAAAUUAUGUGUCCGGUUGAAUUCCACUUUUUUGUCCGGUUUAGCCCCGCACAGACAAUUCGUUUUCGAGAAAUGAACAUUAGAAAAUACUAACUAGAUUUUCCUUACAAUUCACAGGAAUCUAAUAUACCCAAAAAAAUAAGAAAAUUUCAAAAAUAAAAAUAGUAAAAAACGUUUUGACACGAACACGAUUGACGCCAAAAUGAAUGGACUCAGUGUCAUCCAGCUAGCUGACGACUGUCUGUCACAUAAAAGCGCGUUUACAAAGUCGAUAAUGGCUGAUUUAGAAGCUGUCCGGUUUAACCCCAUGUUCGGUUUAGCCCCGGUUUCCCCUAUGAAUUUAGGAUCAAAACUGGACAGUUAGGGUCCAUGAAAACGACAUAAGAUUCAGUCAUGAUUAAUGAAUAAUCAAAGGUUAAAUAAGUCAGACAGCAUAAGAGGCGAAUGAAUCUAUAAGAAAUUUGCAAUAGUUUAUAUUGUACAUAAUCAUUGAUGCAAACAUUUGGAUAAGUUUGGCGCGAUUGAUCGGGAAUUGUUCGCAUGUAUAACGCAUGGAAAUCUGACUUAGAACAAAUAACACAGGCACUAUAGACAAAAGACACAA